rnacentral:tRNA from 4 species
GCCGAGGUGGUGAAAUUGGUAGACACAAGAGACUUAAAAUCUCUCGGCCAUCACGGCUGUACGGGUUCAAGUCCCGUCCUCGGCA